GAAACCUUGUGACCUUUUUCGGCUAGUUUGUUUGAGAGUUGAAGGUAUGGUGUUAUAUGUCCCAUGGCAAACCAGGGGAACAUAAUUAUAUGAAAUGUUGCAGUAGUAGCCAUGUUUGAGAAUGCAAGGUAACACUAGUUUCUCUGUUAAAAAGGUGAAGAAGAAGUGUACAUAAAUGCAGAAUCUGAGAAAUGAACAGAAAUAGAAUAAAUCCAAAAAAAAUUCAACAAACUAUUUUGAAUUCUACUAAUUAGCAUUGCAAAGUGGUAAUCAACUCAUAUGACCUUUAAUUUGUCUCUUGUUAAUCAUUUUCAGAAUCUUCAAAGUCCAACCUUGCACUAUAACUUAUCUUAACAAAAAAGUUUAAAUAGUUUUUUUUUUCUUAAAAUGAAUAUUACAUUUGGUUUAAUGAUAUUUGAGACAUACAUUCAGUGAUCGCGAUUUUUCAUAACAUUCAACGGUCGCAAAUGAAACCGGCAUUCUGUUGUUUGGUACAGUACGUACGUACCUAGUUAGGAUGUACGUAUGUUGGGUUAGACAGAACUUUUCUUUGGUGUUAGCGUCGUCCCGAGUAUCCUUUCUCUCAUUCGAGUUUGUCAGUAUGUUGUUUGGUACAGUACGUACGUACCUAGUUAGGAUGUACGUAUGUUGGGUUAGACAGAACUUUUCUUUGGUGUUAGGACGUACGUACCUAGUUAGGAUGUACGUACGUACGUUGAGUUCGACAAACUACUUUUUUCUUCAGGGACGUACGUACCUAGUUAGGGUUUACAUACGUCGUGGUGUAUUUUUCAUAUUCCUGCCCAUUUUCUCUCUCUUCCAAAACCCUAACUAUAUAUUGUUUUUCAACCAAAGAACAAAUCAGUUCUUUGGCCGUCCAAUUAAGGUGUUCUUCUUGAAUUUGUUUAGAGUUGUGUUUUGGUGAUUGAACUCAUUCUUUCCUCUCCAUUCAUCUUCUUCUUCUUUAUUGAUUAUUGAGAUCAGCUUCGAGUCUUCUUGUGUGUUCAUCAAGAAGUCGAGUGUCUUGUGUGUACAUCAAGGUACUCUGGUGAAGUCAAGGUGUUAGAGAUAACCGGUAGUGUCAACUCACAGUGUUUGCAGGUAGUUGAUAGGUUUGUACAUCUCUUUUCAUCUAGUGGAUUUAUUUGUUGUCGCGAGGACAGCCGUGGACGUUUCCCAUAUUGGGUUUUACCACAUUAAAAAUAACGCGUGUUCAUUUACUUUCUGUUCAUUGAUUUGCUUGUUUGAUUAGUUGUGAUUGUGGCAAUAGCACUGUUUGUGGAGUUUCAGCAAAGAUAUUAUGUGCAAUCCAUCAAACUCAAAAAAAUCGAUCACUUGUUUUUCUUUCUGGAAUAUGUACAUGUUCGUAUAUCGUAACUUACUUGACUUCUCGGAUUUUGUUGAACCCACAUUUUUUGCAACAAGAUUACAAGGGAACCCUAGUUUACAACAAUGGCAUCAAGGUCAAGGACCUGAAACAGUUGUUAAGAAAUAGCAAUUGAUCCAAGUCUAUACUAUUGUAAAAGAGUUCAUAGCUUAUCUAAGAAAUAAUAUUAAUGCAUUUCAUGAAUGCACAUAACUAAAUAAGCUGCAAAACUGCUUAAUUUGCAAGGUUAUCAAGCACAACCAAUAUCAAAGAUAUAUGGUUUGAAUGGAGCAGCCUUUGGUGGAACUCGAUAUCACAAAGGCUAACAAGGUCUGGUAAGUAGCGUACAUCCUGUCAUCCUGUAAUGAAUAAGUUCAUAAGCUGCAAAAGGGUGCUGAUAUUUGCCCUCAUCUUUAAAGAUGACAAGUCAGACCGAAACAUGUGCUCCACAAAUAUGUAUAAACUGAAUGUUAAUGCUUCUCCAAGAAAAACAAUUGCCCAAAUUGUUGAUUCAGAUUGAUAAAUAGUGUAUAAACAUUUGACAGUAUGGAAUGCCUUUCCCUCAACGUCUCCUCUCUCCCGUAAAAAAAUUUCCUCAUCCUUUUAAUCUUGAGAAGUGUUGGUAAUGCCUUUCCCUCAACGUCUCCACUCUCCCGUAAAAAAUAAUAUGAUGAAUGAGCACAAUAAAUCAUCACACCCACGGCCACAUCAAAAAAAAGACGUGAAGUCCACCAAAAUUCUAUACAUAAAUGUCAACUUUCACAAUUUUGCCAAAUUUGAGUGUACUUAAGCACAUCACCAUUCAAGAUACUAUGGAAGAUGAUCACAACGAGUAAAAUAAUCUUAUGAUCACAACCACAACUAAUCAAUGUCAUCAAGAUAGCAAAAGGAACUUCACUGAACCAGCUCUUGUGAGUAGCCAAAGUGUUUGAUGAAAGUAUUCCGAACCAGCUAAGUUAAAAGACUCAACACUUUCACGAUCAAAGCAACUAGUAUAGCCAUCUGAAGACUUGGUUUUUUCUUUUUGUUCUGGAAUGAGCUGAAAAUCAAACACAAGUAAAGCAAAAGGAUCCCAAAAUGAAGCCUAGGAAGUAAAACCUUACUCAAUGUGACCCCCACGUUACAAGUUUGACACAAUCCGUGGACUAUUGGAUCUUAAGCUACAAGCCCAAGUAUGGAAUGGGCCGAUAUUGAUAUGAGGCCCAAUGUGGAAUAUAUAUAUGGGUUUUCUCUAUAACAGAAAGCCUAAGGAUUUAACAUCUUUCUAGCCUCCUUCUACCAUUAGAGAGAUUGUUUCUCUGUUUGAGAAUCCUUCAUCUUCUUUUUUCUAUUAUUCUUCAUCAUCCCAAGUCAUCAUCAACAACAGUAACAGAGAUUUGAGUGCUGUUUCCGGAGAGUGAAUCUGUGAAGUGUUUACCACGGUUAUAUUAAAUAGAAGACUACUCAGAGUGCAGUUGCAGGUUUUAAUAUCAGGAAUUAAGUUAACCGGAGUUUGUAACUUUGAGUGUAAUUCUUUUAUUGAUAUAGUGGAUUGAUUAUCGUCUGAGGACGGUCGUGGAUGUUUUCUGAUUUAGGGUUUUACCACGUUAAAUAUUGUGUAUCCUUUUUAUUUUAUUGUUUGUGUUUGUUUAUUGUUUAUUAUUACAUUGCACUUAUUUGGGGAUUACAAGUGGUAUCAGUAGCAGGGUGCUUUGGGUUUGACCCUAAUUGAACCCAUAUUCGUAUCCAUUUUAUUGGGUUUGGAUAUUUUAAACAGAUCCGAAUUAUAAAAUGGAUUGGAACUGGGUUCAAAAAAUAAAUCCGACUCGAAUCUGGGUUGGAUACGGGUUUGCAUGAAUUAGGAUCGGAUCCUCCCAUAUUUGUAAAAUAUAUAAUAUUUUUAAUAUUAGUAAUAUGAUUAAUUGUCUUCAAAUUAAUGAUUUAAAAAUUUUAUUAUUAAGGAAAGUAAUAUUAAUCUUUGAUUUCAUGGAUACAAAAUAUUUCCUUUUAUUAGAAUAACAUAAUAGGAUUUUUUUUCUUAGUAUGAAUUUCUAAUUAACGAGAUUUUAUAAUUGCUUCUUUCUAUUUUAAAAAUCCGAGUCUGGCGGGGCGGAUCCGGAUCCGAUUAAUGUAAAACAGUUAGGAUAUGGUUUAUGUCUGAAAAACUAAUUCAGGGUUUGGAUUUGGAUCUGGUUUGGAGGAAAAAAAUAUGAUUUUGAAUAUGGACAUACCCUGAUCCAACCCAAACCCGCACCAUUUACAUCCCUAGUUUAAUUACUCGAAGUGUAGAUCCUUUAAGUGCAAACAUGUCUAUUGAUAAUGUUUCUGCUCGUGCUCGUGGUAAUGAUAAAUUGCAUUUUGUUUGCAAUAAUGAUUUUGCUCUCUUUUUCAGGCUUGCUACUAAAGAAUGCGAAAGUCUAAAGAAAGCUAAUAUUGCUUCACAUGCAAAAUUAGAUAAAGCUAAUUCUAAUUUGUUUAAUAUCUCUGAUAAAGUUUGUUUACAGAUAAUGGUGUUUUGCAGACUCAGGUUGAUUAUCUUGAACAACGACUCAAAUCUUGUGCAGAAGAAUAUAUGCUUCAAGGGGAAGUUUAUGAAUGAAAAAUCAAACACUUGGAAAAUAUUAAUCUCACUUUGCAGGACAAAAUUCAGAGUUUGAAAAAACAAGUUCUCUGUGCUGCAGGUGAUACAAAUUCUCAUUAUGCGGUAUUUGAAAAAGAAAAGGAUGAAUUAUUGUAUAGAAUUGCAACCUUAGAGAAGGCUCAUAAUGAGGAUGAGGACAAAUAUAAUUAUCUUCUAGUUAAUAUGAGGCAAAUAAAAAGAAUUUGAGGCAAAUAAAAAUAAUAUGAAUAAUUCUUCUUUAGUUUUGCACGACUCUCUAAAGGAUAGUCAUAAUGUUGAUUCUACAUUGAUUGCACUUUUGCCUACUCCAUCUAUUACUCCUAGACUUGAGACUACUACUUUUCAGCCUGUUUCUUAUAAAAAGUCUAAGGCCAAUAACAAGAGUGAUUUUGUUAAUAAAUCUUCUUGUUUUAUAAACAAAGAUAAAUGUCACAAGCAUAAGGGUGACACACAUGUUUCUCACAAUACUACAACAUCUUCUUCUAGGACUUCUUUAAAAAAACCCAAUGAUUUUUAUUGUUUUUAUCGUAGUCGAGAUGGUUAUUUGGCAAGUUUUUGUUGGGAUUAUAAUGAACAUGUUAAACUCUAUUCUCGCGUUCUUUAUAAUUAUAAUCAUGUUGAUGUGUAUACUCCUUCUCGUGUUUUUUCUAUACCUUAGAUGUCUAAUUCUUCUUGUCCUAGGUUUCAGAAAAACAUGUAAGUACUCCACCAGAAUGAAGAGAAAGAAAAAGGUAGAGUUAAUGAAUGACAAGUCUAUUGGAAAGACGGUCAAGGUGAGGUCUCAUCUCUUUUAUACAUCAAAGAUGUAUAGGCCCACUAUCAAGCAAGUAUAGGUAAGAAAAGAUGAGUUGAAGGGUAUUUUAGACUUGAGAAAAUCUAAUGGCAUUCCGUCUUCGGGAUGAUUUUGGUUCUUGUUUAGCCAUGUGUUAUAUUCCUUCUAUUUAUUUUAACACAGGCUAUAUGUUUGGGUUUUUGUUAUUCUUAUUGUAAAUGGGAGAUCGGAGAAGAUGACCGGAGAGUGUGUAGGAUGGAAUUCGUAGUGGAGAAGUGGUUGAGCUAUCUGGAGAGAUAGUUGCCUAUGUAUCUGAGAUUGACCAAGUCCUAGAAUCAAGCCUACGUAGUUCAUAUUUAUACGAUAUUUGGGACAACAACUAACUCUUUAAUUGUCCAAUGAUGGGAUCAAUUAAUGAGUAGGCGUUAUGAAUCAAACUUGAAAAGAUAUUAUAACUGAAAGGAGAUAAAUGUAUAAAGGAUUGUGAGUUAGAAUGAGGUCGAGUGGGUAAGCCCUAGUUCGAGUGAGGUCGAGUAAAAAACGGGGUCACGCCGAGUGACGUCAAGAUUAACUAGAAAUCAAGUCGGAUUGUGGUACGAGUGAAUGAGGUCGAUUGAGGUCGAGAAAAAAAGGGUUCACGUCGACUCAUGUCGAUACAAAUGUUUGGGUGAGAGUAUGUUCGAAGUGGUCGUUUUAUGAGGUCGAAGGAGCUCGGAUGUUUGGAUAUAUACACAUAUUUACCUCUUAUUCUUGUGUUGAGUUUUUAUUCUCUCUUGUUAUGCUGUGUGCAUAUUUGUUUUUCUUACUUCUUUAUGGUCAUUUCAUCUUCUUUUGUGUCCGGUUUUUUAUUGUGUUUCAUUUUAACUUUAUAAAAAAAAGAACAAAAAAAAAACUGAAAAGAUGUUUAAGAGUGGUUCUCUACUUGCAUUCUUGUAUGCUUGCAUAUUCAUAUCUCUUGCGGUUUAUCACAAUAAAUGAGCACAAUAAAUCAUCACAGCCACAUCAAAGAAAACCCUUUAUCACAACACUUUUCUGCAACAAUUUCAUAAAAAACCCUUUUACAUGUGAUCUACUUCAGCAUAUCUUGCAAUUUGUGGAUUAAAUUGUUAAUGUAAGGAGACUCAAGGCCUUCAGAUAACAAGAACUCUUUCCACUUAUGGUGGUUUGCCCGGAUUUGUUCACCAACAUCACUCCCUUUGUCCAUCACUAACUUCACUGCAUUACACACACUUUCCCUUGUAAACCACCCAUCUUCAUCCCUCCUUUCCACAGUCACAGCAACCUUUAAGUUUUCAGUCAUAUAUUGUGAAUCUAUAAACUGCGCGCCAAAGUGCGGCACAAAAACUAUCUGGCAAGCGCUUGCCAACGAUUCCCAUAUAGACGCAGAACCACCAUGGCUCAAGAAACAUCCCACUGAAGGGUGGUUUAAUAUUUGUUGUUGUUGUACCCAACCUCCAUAUACUACUCCUCUUCCUCUAACCCUUUCUUCAAACCCCUCUGGCAAAGCUUCCUCAAGAGUUUCAGCACCGAAAGGAGGUUUCAGUCGCACCAAGAACGGCAAACCAGUUUGCUCUAAUCCCAAAACCAACUCCUGGAAUUGAUUCUUUUCCAAAACGCAUUCACUUCCAAAUGCACAAUACACAACUGACCCCUGUUUAAAACCAGCUAACCAAUUAGCCCAUCUUUCUUCCAAAGGGUUAUCCGAUGGCUCGGGCAAAAUUGGGCCUGUCAGCAACACUUCCUUCUUGUAGAGUUUCUUUAAGUACUCACAAGAUUGUCCUUCCAUUUCACUGCAAGCUCUAAAACAAUCUAUUAACAAAUGAUAUUCUUCCAUCAAUUUCUGUUGACAUUAACGUUCGAUCCUUUGCCAGAGAUGGUUUAAGAUUUGAUAAUUGUGGAUUUCCCAUGCGAUAAGCACGCCCAACAGAACUAACCACAGAAAAAUAUACUGAUUUAAUCCCAAGUGUGUGUGCUAAACUUGGAAUCCAAUAAGCAAAAUCAAAGAAUAUGAAAUCGGGUUUGAGGUUUUGAAGUGUGGGUUCAACUUGUUCUUGUGUGAGAUCCAACGCUCGGAAAAGAAAAGGUGAUUUUGUUACAGGUACCUCUGACAUGGUUUCAGUACCAAGAGGGAGACCAUCAACAUGAGGAACGGUAAGUGGAAUGAAAUGAAUGAGAUGAGGAUGAAGAUUAAGGUGAUUGACUUUGUUUUGUGUGUUCUUUGCUAUAAAGAAGGAAACCUUGUGACCUCUUUCCGCUAGUUUGUUUGAGAGUUGAAGGUAUGGUGUUAUAUGUCCCAUGGCAGACCAGGGGAACAUAACUAUAUGAAAUGUUGCAGUAGUAGCCAUGUUUGAGAAUGCAAGGUAACACUAGCUAGUUUCUCUGUUGAAAAGAUGGAGAUGAAAAAGUGUACAUAAAUGCAGAAUCUGAGAAAUGAACAGAAAUAAAAUAAAACCAAAAUAAUUCAACAAACUAUUUUGAAUUCUACCAAAAUGGUAAUCAGCUCACAU
rnacentral:lncRNA from 1 species